AAAGGCCAAUCAAACCGGGAGAUAGCUGGUUCUCCCCGAAAGCUAUUUAGGUAGCGCCUCGUGAAUUCAUCUCCGGGGGUAGAGCACUGUUUCGGCAAGGGGGUCAUCCCGACUUACCAACCCGAUGCAAACUGCGAAUACCGGAGAAUGUUAUCACGGGAGACACACGGCGGGUGCUAACGUCCGUCGUGAAGAGGGAAACAACCCAGACCGCCAGCUAAGGUCCCAAAGUCAUGGUUAAGUGGGAAACGAUGUGGGAAGGCCCAGACAGCCAGGAUGUUGGCUUAGAAGCAGCCAUCAUUUAAAGAAAGCGUAAUAGCUCACUGGUCGAGUCGGCCUGCGCGGAAGAUGUAACGGGGCUAAACCAUGCACCGAAGCUGCGGCAGCGACGCUGAUGCGUUGUUGGGUAGGGGAGCGUUCUGUAAGCCUGUGAAGGUGUGCUGUGAGGCAUGCUGGAGGUAUCAGAAGUGCGAAUGCUGACAUAAGUAACGAUAAAGCGGGUGAAAAGCCCGCUCGCCGGAAGACCAAGGGUUCCUGUCCAACGUUAAUCGGGGCAGGGUGAGUCGACCCCUAAGGCGAGGCCGAAAGGCGUAGUCGAUGGGAAACAGGUUAAUAUUCCUGUACUUGGUGUUACUGCGAAGGGGGGACGGAGAAGGCUAUGUUGGCCGGGCGACGGUUGUCCCGGUUUAAGCGUGUAGGCUGGUUUUCCAGGCAAAUCCGGAAAAUCAAGGCUGAGGCGUGAUGACGAGGCACUACGGUGCUGAAGCAACAAAUGCCCUGCUUCCAGGAAAAGCCUCUAAGCAUCAGGUAACAUCAAAUCGUACCCCAAACCGACACAGGUGGUCAGGUAGAGAAUACCAAGGCGCUUGAGAGAACUCGGGUGAAGGAACUAGGCAAAAUGGUGCCGUAACUUCGGGAGAAGGCACGCUGAUAUGUAGGUGAAGUCCCUCGCGGAUGGAGCUGAAAUCAGUCGAAGAUACCAGCUGGCUGCAACUGUUUAUUAAAAACACAGCACUGUGCAAACACGAAAGUGGACGUAUACGGUGUGACGCCUGCCCGGUGC
rnacentral:rRNA from 1 species